AGAGUUUGAUCCUGGCUCAGGAUGAACGCUGGCGGCGUGCCUAAUACAUGCAAGUCGAACGCUUCACUUCGGUGAAGAGUGGCGAACGGGUGAGUAAUACAUAAGUAACCUGGCAUCUACAGGGGGAUAACUGAUGGAAACGUCAGCUAAGACCGCAUAGGUGUAGAGAUCGCAUGAACUCUAUAUGAAAAGUGCUACGGGACUGGUAGAUGAUGGACUUAUGGCGCAUUAGCUUGUUGGUAGGGUAACGGCCUACCAAGGCGACGAUGCGUAGCCGACCUGAGAGGGUGACCGGCCACACUGGGACUGAGACACGGCCCAGACUCCUACGGGAGGCAGCAGUAGGGAAUUUUCGGCAAUGGGGGAAAACCCUGACCGAGCAACGCCGCGUGAAGGAAGAAGUAAUUCGUUAUGUAAACUUCUGUCAUAGAGGAAGAACGGUGGAUAUAGGGAAUGAUAUCCAAGUGACGGUACUCUAUAAGAAAGCCACGGCUAACUACGUGCCAGCAGCCGCGGUAAUACGUAGGUGGCGAGCGUUAUCCGGAAUUAUUGGGCGUAAAGAGGGAGCAGGCGGCACUAAGGGUCUGUGGUGAAAGAUCGAAGCUUAACUUCGGUAAGCCAUGGAAACCGUAGAGCUAGAGUGUGUGAGAGGAUCGUGGAAUUCCAUGUGUAGCGGUGAAAUGCGUAGAUAUAUGGAGGAACACCAGUGGCGAAGGCGACGAUCUGGCGCAUAACUGACGCUCAGUCCCGAAAGCGUGGGGAGCAAAUAGGAUUAGAUACCCUAGUAGUCCACGCCGUAAACGAUGAGUACUAAGUGUUGGGUGUCAAAGCUCAGUGCUGCAGUUAACGCAAUAAGUACUCCGCCUGAGUAGUACGUUCGCAAGAAUGAAACUCAAAGGAAUUGACGGGGGCCCGCACAAGCGGUGGAGCCUGUGGUUUAAUUCGAAGCAACGCGAAGAACCUUACCAGGUCUUGACAUCGAUCUAAAGGCUCCAGAGAUGGAGAGAUAGCUAUAGAGAAGACAGGUGGUGCAUGGUUGUCGUCAGCUCGUGUCGUGAGAUGUUGGGUUAAGUCCCGCAACGAGCGCAACCCCUGUUGCCAGUUGCCAGCAUUAAGUUGGGGACUCUGGCGAGACUGCCGGUGACAAGCCGGAGGAAGGCGGGGAUGACGUCAAAUCAUCAUGCCCCUUAUGACCUGGGCUACACACGUGCUACAAUGGACAGAGCAGAGGGAAGCGAAGCCGCGAGGUGGAGCGAAACCCAUAGAACUGUUCUCAGUUCGGACUGCAGUCUGCAACUCGACUGCACGAAGAUGGAAUCGCUAGUAAUCGCGAAUCAGCAUGUCGCGGUGAAUACGUUCUCGGGCCUUGUACACACCGCCCGUCACACCAUGAGAGUCGGUAACACCCGAAGCCGGUGGCCUAACCGCAAGGAAGGAGCUGUCUAAGGUGGGACUGAUGAUUGGGGUGAAGUCGAACAAGGUA
rnacentral:rRNA from 1 species